rnacentral:lncRNA from 10 species
AUACCUGUAGUCCCAGCUACUCAUGAUGCUGAGGCAGCAGGAUUGCUUGAGCCUAGAAGUUUGAGUUUGCAUUGAGCUAUGAUCACACCACUGCAUUCCAGCCUGGACAACAGAUCAAGACCCUGUCUGAAAAAAAAAGAAAGUGGUUUAGUUCAGCUAUUCUGUUGUGCUGUUCUUUGUCUUUUCUCAUUCUAAGAGUUCUAUCUCUAGACCUGGAAACAAGGAUAGAAUUACUUCCUGGUCUCCCUCUCUUUCUCUGAAAAAUUAACCUUCACUAUUUCCAUAUUGCAUAAGCAACAGAUAUUCAGUAUUUAAAAGUUAGAUAAGACAUGCACAAAUAAUUAAAAAAGAAAACUCCCUGGUUUCUUGACCUCAGCCAUCUAAAGGGAAGAGGGCGUUCUGGCUUCCCAUUGCACACCACAGGACAGUUGCUGUUGCUUGAAUAAUUUCCCAUAGUGCAUUGUCCUCACUGCC